GUUGCCUUCUGUGUCUGACUUCUUUCACUUAGCUUAAUGAUUUUAAGGUUUAUUCUCAUUGUAGCAUAUAUCACUACUUCAUUCCUUUUUAUCUGAGUGAUAUUUUAUUGUGUGCCCAUACCAUAUUAAUUUUACCUGUUUGUCAGUUUAUGGAUGUUUGAGUUGUUUCUGUUUUGGGAUAUUAUGAAUAGUACUGUUAUAAAUGUUCAUGUAUAAAGUUCUGUUGGAACAUGGUUUUUA
rnacentral:lncRNA from 1 species